GACGAACGCUGGCGGCGUGCUUAACACAUGCAAGUCGAACGGAAAGGCCCUGCUUUUGUGGGGUGCUCGAGUGGCGAACGGGUGAGUAACACGUGAGUAACCUGCCCUUGACUUUGGGAUAACUUCAGGAAACUGGGGCUAAUACCGGAUAGGAGCUCCUGCUGCAUGGUGGGGGUUGGAAAGUUUCGGCGGUUGGGGAUGGACUCGCGGCUUAUCAGCUUGUUGGUGGGGUAGUGGCUUACCAAGGCUUUGACGGGUAGCCGGCCUGGGGGGGUGACCGGCGACAUUGGGACUGCGAGAGGGCCCAGCCUCCUACGGGAGGCAGCAGUGGGGAAUAUUGCGGAGUGGGCGGGAGCGUGAUGCGGCAACGCCGCGUGCGGGAUGACGGCCUUCGGGUUGUAAACAGCUUUCGCCUGUGACGAAGCGUGAGUGACGGUAACGGGUAAAGAAGCACCGGCUAACUACGUG
rnacentral:rRNA from 1 species